GCCUUCGUAGCAUAGUGGCAUUGCGCCUGUUUCGUAAACAGGAAGUCGUGAGUUCGAUUCCCACCGGAGGCU